rnacentral:pre_miRNA from 1 species
UUCUACCUCAGAGGAGUGAAUCUUAGAACACAAGAUUGAUUGGUUAGACAACAAUAUCAUCUAUUGUCAUAUGGACUAUAUUUGUUUCUUGCUAAUUUAUUUUGUGUUCUCAGGUCACCCCUUUGAGCAAACC